UCUAUGUUGAUGAUAUAGUUAUAACAGGAGAUGAUAAGGAAGAAAUUGUUUAUCUAAAGGAACGCUUGGCCCAAGAAUUUGAAAUUAAAGACUUAGACAAAUUAAGGUACCUCCUAGGAAUAUAAGUUGCCAGAUCAGACAAAGGGAUCUUUAUUUCUCAAAGCAAAUAUCUAUUAGAUCUCUUAGAUGAGACCAGCAUAUUGGGAUGUAAACCAGUAGAAUCUCCUAUUGAAGCUAAUCAUAAGUUGCAAGCAAGAGUUGGGGAGUCAGUUGACACAGGGAGAUAUCAGAGGUUAGUUGGGAGA
rnacentral:misc_RNA from 1 species